GCUUCAAUCCUUCCUGUGACUUCUCUUUAUCUCAUUUUUUUUUAUUUAUUGCUGCACAUUACUUCGAAGGCAAAAAUCCACAUCUGUGUCUAAAAUGGCAAGUGAUGAGUGGUGGCUAAGAACCUUGGAGUCACCCUGGACCCCUGCCUCUCUUAUUCCCAGCACAUCUCCACUCUGGCACGCACUUGCCAAUUCUUCCUGAGCAACAUCCGAAGAAUCCGACCCUUCCUCACCAACUAUGCUACCCAGCUCCUGGUCCAGGCCCUGGUACUCUCCCGCCUAGACUACUGCAACUCCCUCCUGGCUGGCCUCCCUGCGUCCGCCACCCGUCCGCUCCAGCUCAUCCAGAACUCUGCUGCCCGCCUGGUGUUCUCUCUGCCUCGCUUCGCCCACGCUACUCCACUACUCCGCUCGCUCCACUGGCUCCCGAUCACCGCUCGCAUCCAGUUCAAGACUCUUGUACUAGCCUACAGAUGUCUUGACCAGACUGCACCCAGCUACCUCCAGACCCUCAUCUCUCCCAACACCCCCACUCGACCUCUCCGCUCCGCCUGCACUAGAAGACUGGCUCUACCUCCGCUACGCUCCCCUGCCUCCAGAGCCCGCUCCUUCUCCACCCUUGUUCCGCAGUGGUGGAAUGACCUUCCUACAGAUGUCAGGACUGCCCAGUCCCUGACCACAUUCCGGCGCCUCCUUAAGACUCACCUCUUCAAACAGCACCUGUAGAACUCCUCUGUUUGUAUCCUGGGACACUAUCACCCUUCAUGUAAAUGUGCUUUAUUCUGCUCUUAUCUGCCCCCUAUUUUACUGCAUUUAAUCCUGUACUUCAGAAUACUGUAAUCUGCCAAGUGUUUAACCUGUAGUACUUUGCAUUUAAUCACAUCCUGAUGUAACUAUCACUAUUUAAUCAUAUCCUGAUGUAACUAUCACUAUUAUCUGCUGUAUUAUUGAAUUGUGGUUUGUCACACUGAACAAAAGUUAUUGUAUUUCUUGCUCUUAUUGUAUUACUUGUAUUGUAACACUUGAAAUGUAUUUGCUUACGAUUGUAAGUCGCCCUGGAUAAGGGUGUCUGCUAAGAAAUAAAUAAUAAUAAUAAUAAUAAUAAUAAUAAUAAUAAUAAUAAUAAUACUAUAUGUAAAGUGUGAUUGGACUGUCAGCUUUUCAUCACAUCUUGAGCACCCUGUGCCCCCCCCCCCCCAGGUUUGGACAUGGAAUUGAGUACCCCUGGAGUAGCAACUCUGAAGCUGUUACAAUUACUAUAUAUAAUAACACAAAUGGUUAUUAAAAUGGCUGUGUUAAUUAAGACACAAUUGGGAAUAACCUAUAAGGCUAAUUUGGCUGGUGGCAUCAUGUUUGUUUUUAUAUGGCCAGAAAGUUAAACAGAAUAUUAAUUGUUAAACACAGCAUCAGAAAUGAUUAAACAAAAAAUCACUAAUUUAUUUUUCAAUGUCGCUAACACAACUUAGAAAUUACUCUUGAUACAGUUUUGUACUUUUAAAAAAAAUGCAAGCGCUAUAGCUUGCAGUUUCUGACUGGGAAGGCAAAUAUUUCCCAUUGUGUUUUAAUCUGAACUUAUUUUGCAUGCCUCACCUGUGUAAGUUUUAACAGAUAAGAAAGAUGUUUUACAUACAGCCUUAGAUGUUUCGAUUUUCCUUUAAAGAUGGACUGUUUCUGCUUCAGACAAUAUUAACAUCAUUUCUAUUAAACGGCACCCCACAAGAUGUUACUACCAAAAUGCAGAAGCGAGGUAUCACUGUCUGCCUUAAUGCAUCCAUUUUAACACAACCCCACAGUGACUGAUGUAGCAUUUGUUAUCAUGCUGUUUCUAUGAUGUAAUAUUCACAGUUAUACGUGCAUGAAUAUUAAAGUAUAUAUUUGAGAAUAUGUUUCUAGUAUAAGAUUGUGUGUAUGUUUUUUAAAAAUGUAAUUUAUAAACUAAUAGUAUAAGAUUGUGUGUAUGUUAUUUAAAAAUGUAAUUUAUAAACUAA